CCUAACACAUUCAAGUCGAACGAACGUGUAGAAAUACAGUGAGUGACGGACGGGUGAGGUAACGCGUAAGCAAAUCUGCCUUUAGUGUGUGGAAUAACAACCGGAAACAGUUGCUAAUACCGCAUAACGCAGAGAGAUCGCAUGGUCUUUCUGCCAAAGAUUUAUCGCACGAAGAUGAGCUUGCGUCCGAUUAGAUAGUUGGCGGGGUAACGGGCCCACCAAGUCGACGACUCGGUAGCCGGACUGAGAGGUUGAACGGGCCACAUUGGAACUGAGAUACGGUCCAGACUCCUACGGGGAGGCAGCAGUGGGGAAUAUUGGGCAAUGGACGAAAGUCUGACCCAGCGACGCCGCGUGAGGGAAGAAGGUCUUCGGAUUGUAAAACCUUAGUCAACAGGGACGAAGCAAGUGACGGUACCUGUGGAGGAAGCCACGGCUAACUACGUGCCAGCCGCUGC
rnacentral:rRNA from 1 species